GACGUAGGGCGCGAGCGUUGUCCGGAUUUAUUGGGCGUAAAGCGCUCGUAGGCGGUGUGUCACGUCGGCCGUGAAAACCUGGGGCUUAACUCUGGGCGUGCGGUCGAUACGGGCAUCACUAGAGUUCGGCAGGGGAGACUGGAAUUCCUGGUGUAGCGGUGAAAUGCGCAGAUAUCAGGAGGAACACCGGUGGCGAAGGCGGGUCUCUGGGCCGAUACUGACGCUGAGGAGCGAAAGCAUGGGUAGCGAACAGG
rnacentral:rRNA from 1 species